UACGAAGGGGGCUAGCGUUGCUCGGAAUCACUGGGCGUAAAGGGUGCGUAGGCGGGUCUUUAAGUCAGGGGUGAAAGCCCAGAGCUCAACUCUGGAACUGCCUUUGAGACUGAGAGGCUUGAGUACGGGAGAGGUGAGUGGAAUUCCCAGUGUAGAGGUGAAAUUCGUAGAUAUUGGGAAGAACACCGGUGGCGAAGGCGGCUCACUGGCCCGUAACUGACGCUCAUGCACGACAGCGUGGGGAUCAAACAGG
rnacentral:rRNA from 1 species